GUCGAACGCUUUGUCUUUAAUUGAUCUGACGAGCUUGCUCUGAUUUGAUUUUAUCUGACAAAGAGUGGCGAACGGGUGAGUAACACGUGGGUAACCUACCUCUUAGCAGGGGAUAACAUUUGGAAACAAGUGCUAAUACCGUAUAAUACCAACAACCGCAUGGUUGUUGGUUGAAAGAUGGUUCUGCUAUCACUAAGAGAUGGACCCGCGGUGCAUUAGCUAGUUGGUAAGGUAAAGGCUUACCAAGGCGAUGAUGCAUAGCCGAGUUGAGAGACUGAUCGGCCACAAUGGGACUGAGACACGGCCCAUACUCCUACGGGAGGCAGCAGUAGGGAAUCUUCCACAAUGGGCGCAAGCCUGAUGGAGCAACGCCGCGUGUGUGAUGAAGGGUUUCGGCUCGUAAAACACUGUUAUAAGAGAAGAACGGCACUGAGAGUAACUGUUCAGUGUGUGACGGUAUCUUACCAGAAAGGAACGGCUAAAUACGUGCCAGCAGCCGCGGUAAUACGUAUGUUCCAAGCGUUAUCCGGAUUUAUUGGGCGUAAAGCGAGCGCAGACGGUUAUUUAAGUCUGAAGUGAAAGCCCUCAGCUCAACUGAGGAAUGGCUUUGGAAACUGGAUGACUUGAGUGCAGUAGAGGAAAGUGGAACUCCAUGUGUAGCGGUGAAAUGCGUAGAUAUAUGGAAGAACACCAGUGGCGAAGGCGGCUUUCUGGACUGUAACUGACGUUGAGGCUCGAAAGUGUGGGUAGCAAACAGGAUUAGAUACCCUGGUAGUCCACACCGUAAACGAUGAGUGCUAGAUGUUCGAGGGUUUCCGCCCUUGAGUGUCGCAGCUAACGCAUUAAGCACUCCGCCUGGGGAGUACGACCGCAAGGUUGAAACUCAAAGGAAUUGACGGGGACCC
rnacentral:rRNA from 1 species